rnacentral:lncRNA from 1 species
UUUUUGUAAAAGUUUGCUUUCUGUUUUGGAAGUUGUUUGGACGUUCUGUGCUAUGUUUUGGUUUUGUGUGUUUGAAUUUCGUUGUGUCUUAGUGAGUUUAAGUUGUGUUUGUGUUUCAUUUUUUUGUGUGCAUUUGAGCGUGUGUUUUCGUGAAUUUAUGUUCUGUUUUUGAGACAGUGCAAGAGAUGUGAUAAGUGAGAGAGAGAAAGAUUGAGAGAGAGAGAGAGAGUGAGCUACUUCAUCAAUCACCAUACCUUUGAAUGGUCUUCAGAUCUUCUUUGCAGCUAAACACUCCUUCAUCUUGAAACCCUUUAUCAAGAGUUCUUUGGUCACCAAAGAACCCUUGUUAAAAAUAAAACGAAUAUUUAACAGGAAGAAACAUGUUACCGUCAAAUCAAAUUACCUUAACAGGAUGCACUAAAAGAAUGCUUGGUCUCCCAUAUUCACGAGAUUUUGGCCAUCUUAUCACUGAGGCUCAAGAUUAGGGGAUUCUGUUACUGUCAUCCACAACCAGAGCCUUUUUCUGUGUGUAUUAUGUUGAUUCCCCUGAUCAGAAAGUAAUUAAUUACCCAAUAGAACCGAAAAUACAAUGUCUGUCAAAAAGACAGAAACCAUAACUCUUAAAAAGCCUUAAACAUUAUUGAGAUAACCAGAAUGCGAUAUAAAAAUAAGUACCUGGGGAAACUUCCGCAAGCAUCAGAGGCCGUACUCAAACACCACCUUCAAGCACUAUUCACCAUCACAAACAAACACAUCAAUAAUCUGAUCCAUAAAAAGUACCACAAAAGAUGGCACCAUCAUAAACAAACACAUCAUAAUCUGAUCCACAAAAGUACCACAGGAGAUGGCAGAAAUGGGUUAUCGAAGCAGCUAAGAAAAUCAUUAAUAUGUUUGAGGCACUUUGAGCUUUGCGGGCAUUCUAUAGUUAGCUACCUUUUCCUGGUAAUUGUUUAGCGACUGG